UGUUCUAUGGCCGAACUGGUAAAGGCAUUGCCGAUCACAGGCAAGGUUGCGGGUUCGAGUCCCGUCGGAAUGG
rnacentral:tRNA from 1 species